CCUACGGGUGGCAGCAGUGGGGAAUAUUGCACAAUGGGGGAAACCCUGAUGCAGCGACGCCGCGUGAGUGAAGAAGCGCCUCGGCGCGUAAAGCUCUGUCAGCAGGAACGACAAUGACGGUACCUGACUAAGAAGCCCCGGCUAACUACGUGCCAGCAGCCGCGGUAAUACGUAGGGGGCAAGCGUUAUCCGGAUUUACUGGGUGUAAAGGGAGCGUAGACGGCGCGGCAAGUCUGAAGUGAAAGGCAGGGGCUUAACCCCUGAACUGCUUUGGAAACUGCCAUGCUAGAGUGCUGGAGAGGUAAGUGGAAUUCCUAGUGUAGCGGUGAAAUGCGUAGAUAUUAGGAGGAACACCAGUGGCGAAGGCGGCUUACUGGACAGUAACUGACGUUGAGGCUCGAAAGCGUGGGGAGCAAACAGGAUUAGAUACCCCUGUAGUC
rnacentral:rRNA from 1 species